rnacentral:rRNA from 1 species
CCUACGGGUGGCAGCAGUGGGGAAUAUUGCACAAUGGGGGAAACCCUGAUGCAGCGACGCCGCGUGAGUGAAGAAGUAUUUCGGUAUGUAAAGCUCUAUCAGCAGGGAAGAAAAUGACGGUACCUGAUUAAGAAGCAUCGGCUAACUCCGUGCCAGCAGCCGCGGUAAUACGGGGGAGGCAAGCGUUAUCCGGUUUUAUUGGGUUAAAAGGGUGCGUAGGCGGACGGUAAAGUCAGCGGUCAAAUCUCGGGGCUAACCCCCGGCCUGCCUUUGAAACUGGCGGCCUGGAGUGGGCGAGAGGUAAGCGGAAUGCGUGGUGUAGCGGUGAAAUGCGUAGAUAUUAGGCAGAACACCGGUGGCGAAGGCAGCAUACCGGAGUGCGACUGACGCUGAGGCACGAAAGCGUGGGGAGCGAACAGGAUUAGAUACCCGGGUAGUC